UUGACCUCGGAUCAGGUAGGGUUACCCGCUGAACUUAAGCAUAUCAAUAAGCGGAGGAAAAAAAACCAACCA
rnacentral:rRNA from 1 species